rnacentral:lncRNA from 1 species
CUGACAUUCCUUGGCUGCUGUCCAUCAACUAUUUUGAGACAGGUCUCAAAUUGACUGGAGCGUGGUAUGUAGGUGGUGAAGAACAAUACAAGGAUGGAGAAGCAAAGAGAGAUGUCGUUUUAGUCACCCAGAGCUACAUAAUUCAAAUCAAUCCCAAAUGGUAAAAGGAAGAAACAAGGGCUGAAUGGAAGGACCCAGUAAGUCCUCUUGGAAGAACAAAUGCACAGAAGGGAUAUUUCUAUACAGAAGCAUUCAUAAUCUACCCAGGCAUUCAGACAGGACCCUUGGCCAAGCAGACUAACUAUUCACCACAACAGAUGGCACGCAACAUGGUAGGCAAGAACUCACCAUUAAAAAUUACUUAGAGAUUCUCAGAUGGAAUAUACACAUACACAUGUUGUGAUGUAAGAUUAGGAGUGGGGGAUAAUUGGCUUCUUAGCAGGCUACAGAUUUUGCCUGAGCCACUUGGGAAUUUCUUCCAGCAGUUUGGGACUAUACAAACAGUUUGGGCUCAGAGGCACUGGGAGCCCCUGCUGUGCAAAGAGACAGGCUGCUCAGAAGUCCAAGAGAGACAAACAGUAGAAGCUGCCUGCCUCUGGAAACCAGAUGAAGAAUAGAGAUGAAUGAAAUUUGAUUUAAUUGUUUUUAAGAAUAGAAGGGGGUAUAAUCAUAAUAGCUUACGUGGUUUUAAGUAUACAUGGAAUAAAGAAAUACAGGCCUUUGAUCUCAAUGUAGGAAACAAAGUCACACAGAUAGAAGGGAGAUUGAAUGAAAAAUAAAUGCUUUAAAACCAGGGGAAAUACUGGAAUUCUUUUGAACGUGGUCUACAUGGGAAUUCUGGGAUUGUUCAGCCUGUUAUGACCAAUUUAGAUCUGGGAAAUAGGUUUAUACAGUAAGUAGAAGGGAAUUUGAUAAAAGUUAAAUACAUAGAUGAAUAAAUAAUUGAGGCUUUUGAUUUUAAAUUAUAGGUCAAAGAGCAGAGGAUAAGUGGAAAACCCUUAUCCCAGACAGAUAGUAGAAACUUACAUUAAUUCAAGUUAUAUAAAGAGAAGUGGGACAUAUAUACCAACAGAUAGAUUAAUCUCCAUAGAAAGGAGAAUGUAAGUAUACAGAUGAAUAAAUA